UUCCCGAGAGCCCAAGAUGGCUGCUUACACAGGGGAGAUAUGACGAGGUCAAGGCCAUUACGCAAAGAAUCGCUGAGAGAAAUAAGAAACCUAUGCCAGAUAUAGACACUUUCUUUAAAGACUAUGAGACACAAAGACGGCUCCAAGAAGGCGAGAAGCAUGUGAGCACAACGUAUUGGGAUCUAUUUCGAACACCUGCUAUGGCAAAAAUGACGCUUUCUUUCAUGUUUGUCUGGUUCAGUGUCAGCGUGAUCAGUUAUGGACUGCAAUUUAACUUGAAGAACAUGGCAGGAGACAUCUAUAU